CUCGGCAACGGAUAUCUCGGCUCUCGCAUCGAUGAAGAACGUAGCGAAAUGCGAUACUUGGUGUGAAUUGCAGAAUCCCGUGAACCAUCGAGUCUUUGAACGCAAGUUGCGCCCGACGGCAUUCGGCCGAGGGCACGUCUGCCUGGGUGUCACGG
rnacentral:rRNA from 1 species